rnacentral:rRNA from 1 species
GUGGGGAAUAUUGCGCAAUGGGGGGAACCCUGACGCAGCGACGCCGCGUGAAGGAAGAAGGUCUUCGGAUUGUAAACUUUUUUGACAGGGGACGAAGAAGAUGACGGUACCCUGGGAACAAGCCACGGCUAACUACGUGCCAGCAGCCGCGGUAAUACGUAGGUGGCGAGCGUUGUCCGGAAUUACUGGGUGUAAAGGGCGUGCAGGCGGGUAAGCAAGCCGGAUGUGAAAGGCCACGGCUCAACUGUGGUACUGCAACCGGAACUGCAUAUCUUGAGUAUCGGAGAGGAAAGCGGAAUUCCCAGUGUAGCGGUGAAAUGCGUAGAUAUUGGGAGGAACACCAGUGGCGAAGGCGGCUUUCUGGACGGUAACUGACGCUGAGGCGCGAAAGCGUGGGGAGCAAACAGGAUUAGAUACCCUUGUAGUCC